UUUAAUUACUUACAAUUCGUACGGCAUUUGCUUGUAUUGUAAAUAAAAUAUGCUUGUCCGUUUAUAUCAAAGUAAUAACUGGUACAAUCCAUAUCUUGAUCAGUUAUUUGCACUAGUAACUGACCUCCUCAACCCGGACACCUGACUCCACGAUAUCCCUUAGACUGUGUUACUGACGGACCUAACCUCGAACAUUUGAUGAUCCAAGGGGUGAUAGCUCACUCAGAUGGUCGGCUUUUUACACUGAACACCAAAGCAUCAUCAUGCCAAAGAUAGCAGCAGUUGAGCAACAUAAUUAAAAAAAAUGCUCCAGAGACAGGAGAUUCCGGAUCAAGAGCCUAAGCAACGAGACAACAAUGAGAGGAGGAGGAGUAGGGACAGGCGCCGAUCCAGCCUUCAAAAAAGGUUGUGAGCACAGCAGAAAAUAAGGCCACACAGGACGGAUUUUGAAUUUACUCAUGAACAAUCAUGACCCUUGAGGAGUAACUAUUUAGUAAUCUGUGCUUGUGGUUUUUCUGUGUAUCAGGACUUUGACAUUAGGGAUGGGAAUACUUAUCGAUAUACUAUCUAUUGAACUCGUCGAAUUUUAAAAUGUGACGUCAGAAGUAAAUUCGUGUUUUGCCCACCGUGCCUACGACGGUGGAUCUGCGCCUGCCCAGGGACCUACUUUUCAGUAUCGGUGUACAGGACAAACAAAAUACUGGUUGUUCUUGCAGGAGUCAAACCGCGAAGUGACUGACCGCGAAGUGACUGACCGCGAAGUAUAUAUAUUUACAUCCGUAAUGACAGUAUAAAAAUAAAACAAAGGAAUAGGAAAUUAAUUAAAAUAUAUUUAUUUCUAUGUCAUUGCCCAUAACCCAUACAACCAAGAAUAAAUUAAUUAACAAUGAACCAA